rnacentral:misc_RNA from 1 species
AGAACUUUGAGUUCUUUCAUCCCUUCAAAAACAUUGUUUGGAAGGCUUUGUGAUUGACAAUCAUAUGAAAGCUGUAAGAGUUCAAGCUUCGGACACUCCAAAUCAUUAGGGUGCCCAUUGAUUUUUUCACACACAAGUGAAAUUGCAGUGCAAUUUUUGUACCCAGCUUUCUCUCGCCACUCCUUCAUUCUAGCAUCACUUUGUAUCGUGUACCAGUGCUUAUCACUAGAGCCAAUUGAUAUGGCUACAUCACGGACAAGAUCAUGCAUUUUGACAGAGUCAUACCAUUUGUUAUCACCUUCAAGCAAUAAAAAUGAUCCUUUAAGUACGUCAAUAAGCGCAUAGACCCUAUCUCUUGCUUGAUGCACAUUAUCAACAUUCUUAAACAACCGCAGGCCCAUUCCAUAUCUAACCAAA